rnacentral:rRNA from 1 species
AUUGAACGCUGGCGGCAGGCUUAACACAUGCAAGUCGAGCGAGCGGCGGACGGGUGAGUAAUGUCUGGGAAACUGCCUGAUGGAGGGGGAUAACUACUGGAAACGGUAGCUAAUACCGCAUACCAUCAGAUGUGCCCAGAUGGGAUUAGCUAGUGGGUGGGGUAAUGGCUCACCUAGGCGACGAUCCCUAGCUGGUCUGAGAGGAUGACCGGCCACAAUGGAACUGAGACACGGUCCAGACUCCUACGGGAGGCAGCAGUGGGGAAUAGUGCACAAUGGGCGCAAGCCGGAUGCAGCCAUGCCGCGUGUAUGAAGAAGGCCUUCGGGUUGUAAAGUACUUUCAGCGAGGAGGCGUUACUCGCAGAAGAAGCACCGGCUAACUCCGUGCCAGCAGCCGCGGUAAUUC